rnacentral:rRNA from 1 species
UACGUAGGGUGCGAGCGUUAAUCGGAAUUACUGGGCGUAAAGGGUGCGCAGGCGGUUAUAUAAGACAGAUGUGAAAUCCCCCGGGCUCAACCUGGGAACUGCGUUUGUGACUGUAUGACUAGAGUACGGUAGAGAGGGGUGGAAUUCCUGGUGUAGCAGUGAAAUGCGUAGAUAUCAGGAGGAACACCAAUGGCGAAGGCAGCUCGCUGGGACGGUACUGACGCUGAGACGCGAAAGCGUGGGGAGCAAACAGG